GUCCACGCCGUAAACGAUGCACACUAGUUCGUGGGAUCUCUCAUGAUUUCGCGGACGAAGGUAAACUAGUUAGUGUGCCGCCUGGGGAGUACGGUCGCAAGGCUAAAACUCAAAGGAAUUGACGGGGGCUCACACAAGCGGUGGAGCAUGUUGCUUAAUUCGAGGCAACGCGAAGAACCUUACCUGGGCUUGACAUGUAUGGAUUAGCUCUUGGAAACAAGAGUGACGCCCUUGGGUGGAACA
rnacentral:rRNA from 1 species